rnacentral:rRNA from 1 species
CCUACGGGGGACAGCAGUGAGGAAUAUUGGUCAAUGGUCGGGAGACUGAACCAGCCAAGCCGCGUGAGGGAUGAAGGUACAGAGUAUCGUAAACCUCUUUUGUCAGGGAACAAAGUCCGGUACGUGUCCCCGUCUGAGUGUACCUUACGAAAAAGCAUCGGCUAACUCCGUGCCAGCAGCCGCGGUAAUACGGAGGAUGCGAGCGUUAUCCGGAUUUAUUGGUUUUAAGGGGUGCGCAGGCGGUCUGUUAAGUCGGCGGUAAAACCCCGGGGCUCAACCCCGGCCCGCCGUUGAAACUGGCAGGCUAGAGUGGGAGAGAAGUAGGCGGAAUGCGUGGUGUAGCGGUGAAAUGCAUAGAUAUCGCGCAGAACUCCGAUUGCGAAGGCAGCAUGCCGGCUCCAAACUGACGCUGAGGCACGAAAGCGUGGGUAUCGAACAGGAUUAGAUACCCGAGUAGUC